rnacentral:ncRNA from 1 species
UUUGAUACGUAGAAGAGAAGAGUAAGCUAGUGAGUAAGUUUUUAGAGACUGCAGGGUGGUGAGAGUGCAGAGCAGAAAGCUGGCCGAAGAUGAGCUCUGAGUUAAUGAGUAGUGCAAGCUACUUAUUCGGAUUGAGACCCGUUAAGGUUUCGAACUUUUGGUAAACAGAAGUUUUUAAGUUGGCGUGUGUGAGUGCGCCAUAAAUUAAGGUGGUAACGCGAUAAAUCGUCCUUCAG